rnacentral:rRNA from 1 species
CCUUCGGGGACAAAGUGACAGGUGGUGCAUGGUUGUCGUCAGCUCGUGUCGUGAGAUGUUGGGUUAAGUCCCGCAACGAGCGCAACCCUUAUUGUUAGUUGCCAUCAUUUAGUUGGGCACUCUAGCGAGACUGCCGGUGACAAACCGGAGGAAGGUGGGGAUGACGUCAAAUCAUCAUGCCCCUUAUGACCUGGGCUACACACGUGCUACAAUGGGAAGUACAACGAGUCGCUAGACCGCGAGGUCAUGCAAAUCUCUUAAAGCUUCUCUCAGUUCGGAUUGCAGGCUGCAACUCGCCUGCAUGAAGCCGGAAUCGCUAGUAAUCGCGGAUCAGCACGCCGCGGUGAAUACGUUCCCGGGCCUUGUACACACCGCCCGUCACACCACGAGAGUUUGUAACACCCGAAGUCGGUGAGGUAACCUUUUUGGAGCCAGCCGCCUAAGGUGGGAUAGAUGAUUGGGGUGAAGUCGUAACAAGGUAGCCGUAUCGGAAGGUGCGGCUGGAUCACCUCCUUU